AUAGUGCUAAGGUAGCAUAAUCAUUUGUCUUUUAAAUAAAGACUAGAACAAAAGAUUUCACAUUUUCAUCUAUUUAUUUUAUUUUAUUAUAAAAAUUUUCUUAAAUGUAAAAAGACAUUUAUAAAAGAAAAAGACGAUAAGACCCUAUUGAACUUAACUUAAGUUAAACUGGGGCAGUAAAUUAAUUAUUAUUUUAAUUAAAAUAAUUAAACAAUUAUCCAAUAAAAUUGAAUCAUCAAGUUACCAUAGGGAUAACAGCGCAAUUAUAUUCCAAAGAUCUUAUAUUAAAAAUAGAUUACGACCUCGAUGUUGAAUUAAUAACCUAAUUAAAGCAAAAGCUAAAAUAGGAAGUCUGUUCGACUUUUAAAAAAUUACAUGAUUUGAGUUCAGACCGGUGUAAGCCAGGUCGGUUUCUAUCUUUUAGAAAAAUUUCUACAGUACGAAAGGACCUAAAAAUAUAAUUUAAUUAAUUAAUUGGCAGAUUAAUGCAUUAGAAUUAGAAUCUAAUAAAUCUAUA
rnacentral:rRNA from 1 species